rnacentral:rRNA from 1 species
GACGAACGCUGGCGGCGUGCUUAACACAUGCAAGUCGAACGGAAAGGCCCUGCUUUUGUGGGGUGCUCGAGUGGCGAACGGGUGAGUAACACGUGAGUAACCUGCCCUUGACUUUGGGAUAACUUCAGGAAACUGGGGCUAAUACCGGAUAGGAGCUCCUGCUGCAUGGUGGGGGUUGGAAAGUUUCGGCGGUUGGGGAUGGACUCGCGGCUUAUCAGCUUGUUGGUGGGGUAGUGGCUUACCAAGGCUUCGACGGGUAGCCGGCCUGAGAGGGUGACCGGCCACAUUGGGACUGGGGUACGGCCCAGACUCAUACGGGAGGAAGGAGUGGGGAAUAUUGCACAAGGGGCGGAAGCCUGAUGCAGCAACGCCGCGUGCGGGAUGACGGCCUUCGGGUAGUAAACAGCUUUCGCCUGUGACGAAGCGUGAGGGACGGUAAUGGGUAAAGAAGCACCGGCUACCUACGU